CCAGCAGCUGCGGUAAUUCCAGCUCUAAUAGCGUAUAUUAAAGUUGUUGCAGUUAAAAAGCUCGUAGUCGGAUGUCGGGCUCGGGGAGGCUGUCGGCCUUUGGUCGGAUGGCAUGUCCGGGCCUUUCUGCCUGCGGACUACACCUCCUUAACCGGUGGUGCUAGGACACAGGCCGUUUACUUUGAAAAAAUCAGAUCGUUCAAAGAAGGCUAAGCUCGAAUAUGUUAGCAUGGAAUAAUGGAAUAGGACUUGGGUUCUAUUUUGUUGGUCAAUGGAUCCUAAGUAAUGAUUAAUAGGGACAGUUGGGGCCGUUUAUAUUUCGUUGUCAGAGGUGAAAUUCUUGGAUUUACGAAAGAUAAACUUCUGCGAAAGCAUUCGGCAAGGAUGUUUUCAUUGAUCAAGAACGAAAGU
rnacentral:rRNA from 1 species